rnacentral:rRNA from 1 species
GACGAACGCUGGCGGCGUGCUUAACACAUGCAAGUCGAACGGUGAAGCGCCAUGCGCUUGGGCUGGUGGGGGGGAGGGGCGAGCGGGUGAGGAACACGUGAGUAACCUGCCUCCUUCUGCUGGAUAACCGCAUGAAAGUGAGGCUAAUACGGGAUAUUCUGGGCCUGUCGCAGGAUGGGUCUGUGAAAGAUAGUGCGUCGGUGGGAGAUGGGCUCGCGGCCUAUCAUCUGGUUGGUGGGGUGAUGGCCUACCAAGGCGGCGUUGGGGAGCCGGCGUGAGAGGAGGGUGAGCGGCCCUGCUGGUGCUGCGCCGCGGACCCGCCUCCGGCAGGCGGCAGCAGUGAAUAUUGUUGCACGAGGGGAGCCAGCCUGAUGCAGCGCCGCCGCGUGAGGGAUGGCGUCCUUCUGGUUGUGAACCUCUUUCGCGAGUGAAGCGGACCUGCCUCGUUUGUGGGUGUGUUGACAGUACCUAGAGAAGAAGCGCCGGCUAACUACGUG